rfam:Oryza meridionalis cultivar OR44 (W2112) chromosome 9, whole genome shotgun sequence.
UUUAAACUCAGUUAUGGGUUCGUGACUUUAAAGUUUGACCAUUUGUCUUAUUUAAAGUUUUUAUAUGAUUAGUAUUUUUAUUUUUAUUACAUGAUAAAAUAUGAAUAGUAUUUUAUGUAUCACUUUUUUUUAAAAGAAACUUUAUAAAUUUUGUAAAUAAGACAGAGGGUCAAAAGUUGAACUCAGAAAUUUAUAAUUGUACUUAAA